GUUAAUAGGUUGAAGGUUAGUUAAUAAUUUUACCUUCUAAGUUGUAGAGACUUUUCUACUACCUUAAAAAGACCAUAAAUUAAUAAAAUCAGUUUAAAAGAGGUAAAUAAUUAGUAUAGUUGGUACAAGGAUUAAGUUGAGAGUAGGAUUGGGCUAAAAACACCUUAGGAUAGGUUAGAUUGAUAUCCGGGGAUCGACCAUUUGUGAGACAAGGUCGAAAUCAGAUCUCUAGCCACUAAAGCGACGGCCUAGGGCAAAAUAGGACUUCAUUUGAAGAUUAGAAGUUAGGAUUUGAAAGCUUGGUUGAAGUUCUUUCUAAAAAUAUAAGAAUUUUUUUUAGUGGAUUUUGGAAGACUUAGCAAUUGUUAUUCAAAGUCAAGGUUUGUAUCAGUGAUUUGGAUUUUACAUAAUAUAAUUAGGACUAGCAAUUUUAGCUAGUUCGUAUAAUUGGAGUAAUAUCUAUAGUUGAAAACUUAAUAUUAUUUGGAUUAUUGGGUGUGCUAAGUGUAUAAAUUUUUUUGUAAUGAUCUAACAUCGUGGUUUAGAGAUAUCUAGUUUUUAGCACAAGAGGAUUUCAAAAGGUGGCAGUUUGAGGUUGGAUAGGGUUUCUAUGAUAUCUAAAGAUCUAUCAAUUGGAUUAAGGUGAAAAUUGGCAUGGUCUUGGAAGACUUGAAGAUCAAGCUACACACUAAUUUUGAGACA
rnacentral:lncRNA from 1 species